CUCUCUCUCUCUCACACUUGCUCCGACUCUCGUCUCCCUUAGACAAUUUCUACAUGGUUCUCUCUCAGCCACUCCUGCUCUCUGUCAGCCGCUCUCUCUCAGUCUCUCUCGCUCUCUCUCAGUCAUUCUCAGUCUCCCUCUCUCGAGUUUUGUAGGUUUGAGAAUUGAUUUUGGGAUCAUAGGAAACGAUUGGCUUGCUCUAGGGUAUUAUUAAUUUCAUGGAAGGAGAAUCUGAAA